rnacentral:rRNA from 1 species
UCAGACGAUGCGUCAUGCAUAUCAAUAAGCGGAGGAAAAGAAACUAACAAGGAUUCCCCUAGUAACGGCGAGUGAAGCGGGAAGAGCUCAAAUUUGAAAUCUUAAAGGGUUUCCCUUUACGAAUUGUAGUUUAAAGAAGUGUUUUCUGUUGAGGUUUUGGUAAAAGUUCUUUGGAAUAGGACAUCAUAGAGGGUGAGAAUCCCGUAUUUGACCUUUACUUUCAACUUUGUGAUACACUUUCAAAGAGUCGGAUUGUUUGGGAAUGCAGUCCAAAAUGGGUGGUAAAUUUCAUCUAAAGCUAAAUAUUGGCGAGAGACCGAUAGCGAACAAGUACCGUGAGGGAAAGAUGAAAAGAACUCUGAAAAGAGAGUUAAACUAGUACGUGAAAUUGUCAAAAGGGAAGCGUUUGACACCAGUGUUGUUUUCUGAAAAUCAACCUUAGUAACUUUUAUGCUAUGCUUGUUUAGACUUUAUCAGCUAACUGUUUAGUUUUGAGCUUUUCUUUAAUGCACUUUUCAGUUAACAAGUCAACAUCAAUUUCUUUUGCUGUAAAAAAGCUUGAGGAAGGUGGCUUGAGAUUCGUCUUAAGUGUUUAUAGCCUCUUGCCUAUGCAGUCGGAGAGAUUGAGGUCUGCAGCGUAGAUCCUUCGGGGCUAAAUGCAUUUGUGCUAAGUUAUAGCAUUUUAUAGACAACUUGUUGACUAUGAUUUGUCUUGUAGCUUACUCGCUUAUGUUAUUUUACCUACGCUUAGGAUGUUGAGCGCAUGUCUCUCUCU